rnacentral:rRNA from 1 species
CCUACGGGUGGCAGCAGUGAGGAAUAUUGGUCAAUGGACGAGAGUCUGAACCAGCCAAGUAGCGUGAAGGAUGACUGCCCUAUGGGUUGUAAACUUCUUUUAUAUGGGAAUAAAAUGUUCCACGUGUGGGAUUUUGUAUGUACCAUAUGAAUAAGGAUCGGCGAACUCCGUGCCAGCAGCCGCGGUAAUACGGAGGAUCCGAGCGUUACCCGGAUUUAUUGGGUUUAAAGGGAGCGUAGGUGGAUUGUUAAGUCAGUUGUGAAAGUUUGCGGCUCAACCGUAAAAUUGCAGUUGAAACUGGCAGUCUUGAGUACAGUAGAGGUGGGCGGAAUUCGUGGUGUAGCGGUGAAAUGCUUAGAUAUCACGAAGAACUCCGAUUGCGAAGGCAGUUCACUGGACUGCAACUGACACUGAGGCUCGAAAGUGUGGGUAUCAAACAGGAUUAGAUACCCUGGUAGUC